rnacentral:rRNA from 1 species
GGGCUCACACAAGCGGUGGAUCAUGUGGCUUAAUUCGACGAUAAACGAGAAACCUUACCAGGGCUUGAAAUUCACUUGAAAUUUCUAUGAAAGUAGAAACCUCCUUCACGGGACAAGUGAACAGGUGCUGCAUGGUUGUCGUCAGCAUGUGCUGUGAAGUGCACGCUUAAAUGCGGUAACAUGCGCAACCCUCACUCUAUGUUUUACGUGUCAUAGAGGACUGCCCGAGAUAAUUGGGAGGAAGGUGAGGAUGACGCCAAAUCAGCAUGGCCCUUUGACGCUCUGGGCUGCACACAUGAUACAAUGGUCGGGACAAUGGGUUGCUAUCUCGCAAGAGGGAGCUAAUCCCACCAAACCCGAUCUCAGUUCGGAUUGAGGUCUGCAAUUCGACCUCAUGAAGCCGGAAUCGCUAGUAAUCGCCAAUCAGCUAUGUGGCGAUGAAUAUGUUCCUGAGCCUU